UCAGCUCGUGUCGUGAGAUGUUGGGUUAAGUCCCGCAACGAGCGCAACCCUUAUCCUUUGUUGCCAGCGGUCCGGCCGGGAACUCAAAGGAGACUGCCAGUGAUAAACUGGAGGAAGGUGGGGAUGACGUCAAGUCAUCAUGGCCCUUACGAGUAGGGCUACACACGUGCUACAAUGGGCUGCAAAGUA
rnacentral:rRNA from 1 species